rnacentral:lncRNA from 1 species
AUUGGAGGCUCCUUUUGAAGUCUCUAGAUGAAGCCAUUAGGAUUCUACAUGGACACUCAAGAAAAAGAGAGAAAUCAUAGAAAUUCUCACAAAAAAGCAAAACAUCCGGUCAUCAAUCGGUAAACUCAAAUCAUCACCGCCAUUGGAUCUAUUAUAUUUUCUAAAAAAUUACUCAUCUAUACCAUUAUGAAAAUAGCCUAAAAUAACUCCCUAAAUCAAUAUCUAAUUACCCACCUAUGCCAUUAUGAAAAUAGCCUAAAGUAGCCCCCUAAGUCAAUAUCUAAAUUACCCAUCUCUGCCAUUAUAUAAAAUAAACUAAAGUAACCCCUAAUCAUCAUCAAAAUUACCACACUUAUGCUAUUAUAAAAAAAAUUAAAACAACCCCUAAAUUUGCAGCUAAAUUGCCCACCACUAAUACUUCAAAAAUAACUUAAAGUAACCUCUUAAAUUUGAAUCUAUAUUACCCACAUAUGCCAUUUUUAAAUAACACGAGGUAACCCUAAAUUGAUUCCAUAUCACCUUAAUUAAC